UACCGAAUUUUCAACUAGGAGGCACUGGAAAAAAGGGUCUACUUUUUCAUAUUAUCCAAUUGGUAGCAUAUAUGAUGCACUAGGAUUUGAACUUUGAUGCUAUGGUUCUUGAAUUGUUUGAGUUUGGCUAUUCUUUGGUUGAAGUGGAGCAUGGUAGAUAUAGUUAUAACCGCAGCGCCCAUUGACCUUAGUUAGGAUCUCAGGGUGGAUGACGGAGUCAUUAGACUUAAGUAAGGAUUUUACUUCGACUAGGGUGAGGUCAAUUUAGUUUUAGUUCGCUAACAAACUAGGGAAAAGAAAGAAUGUCUAUAGUUCAAGUUAAGUGGCAGGUUUUAGAAACCAUCAAAGCUAGUGGAGGAGUCUGAUCUGUGGAAAGAUGUUGAUGUUUAAAAGUGGAAGAAUGAACAUAGUCACAUCCUUCCUGUGUUAUGAUUUGUAACUUUGUUAUUGUUGACAAAUUUCAGUGCAUAUUUGGAAUCUAAUAUUGCUUGUAUUAAUGUGAGCCUGUUCUCACUAUUGAUUGUGAAAUGCAAUAGCAUUGCGAUAUAAAAUAUUAUUGCCAAAAAAUUCUUUAAUCUAUAUCUAUAUUAUAAUCGCAAAAGGAAGAAAUUUAAUCUUGUAUAUUGUAGUGCUAGGGCUACUGGGUUGCACCAUUUUAGCUUUCUAUUCACCAAGAGGAAUAAGAAAUGAUAAGCUUUCUGUAGUGAGGUUCAACUAAGAGAUUAUGUGUGGGAAAGGUUAGAUUCAAGUUCAACUCUCUUCCUUUGAAUAGAACAAAGAUAGUGGGGUGAAGGAGGUCUGGGGGGCAACCCGGUAUUAAAUAUAAUUUUCACUCCCUUGUAGCUGAAGACAUCUCUAGCCGUCUAGCGGGAUAACCUUGUUACAGAGGUUGCAGAGCCGAGAUAUCAAAUCUGGUUUUGAGGAUCUGCUGUUUCACUUAUCUCACUCAUGUGAAAAUGCUUCUACAGAAACUAAUCUCUGCUAUCUUACUUCAAUGCUCCGACCCUUCUUCAUAAUAUCUUGAUACCCAAAAGAAAGAAGACACUAACUUUCCUACCUUACAUUAUUCAAACAACACAGAGGUUCCUCAUAUGAAGCAGACAACAUGCUAACACCAUGCACUUCAACAAAGGAGGGACUUAAACCGUGACCUUAUGGAGCUUUCAUUUUCUUGGAGACUAGUCCCUUCUCUCAUCCCUUCUCAUGUGAUACUAAAAAUCAACUGGUAAUUGGCUGAUUGGCACCAUUUUGAUAAAUUACCCCUGCAGAUCUUCUUAGAGGGUGUUUUACUAGGCUUAUUUUAGAUAGCUUAUAAGCUCUAACAGCUUGUAAGAUGUUGCAAGAGCUUACAAGAUAAAAUGUGUCAAGAGCUUCUAAGUUAUCAAAGUGUUUUGGAUAGUUGAACUUAUAAGUUAGCGUGAGAAAAUUGAUGAGAGAUGUAAUUGAAAGGGUAUUUUUGUAAAUUGAUCAUUGCUUAUAAGAUCAUGAAAAAAGAAGAUGGGGUUGAGGAACUUUUUUUCUUUGUAGCUGAUAAGGCAGUGAAACUUAUUUUCACAGCUUAUAAGCUCUUUAGGAGCUUCUUUUACCAAACACCCUCUUACUAUCAACUUACAAGCUGAUUUGGGGGCAGUUGGUUGACAUGAUACAAUGCUUCUAGAAAGGGCAGUAAAAUUGCUUGUGAAUUUUGUAAUUUGCCACUAACCAUCACUGCAGCAUGCAUGUCCCUAGGACAUAUGAAACAUGAAAAACUAUAUAUUCACUUGCAUGCACUCAAUAUUCGUAGGGUAUUGUGUGGUCUUGUUCUUAGUGUCCUUGUGCAAGUGCACAUAAUAUGAGAUGAAAGCUCCAAACAUUUUGGUCUUUAUCACCAAGUUUGGCGAUUAUUUUCCACAUUAUUUCCAAGAAACUUUUUUUUAAGAAUAAAUAGAAUCAUGUCCUGAAUAUGUGUUUCAAACCAUAGUCUUUAGUUUAGUUUGUCAUCAUCUGAAGGUCAUGCACAAAAGUUUUCUCCGCUUAGAUAUACUGAAUCAAAGACUCAUGGAUCUCAGAUGCAUACUCGUCCACUCAUCCAGCUUAAAUGAAUAUAUCAUGUUAGAACCGCUGGUACAUAUGUUGCAAGUCCAUACCUUUUAAAAUAAACUUUAUUGUGUAUUACCAUCUCUUUACAAACUUCACUUUUAUAAUGUAUCAUUUACUAAAUUACUAUGGCAAUGUUUGUGGUAUACAUGUGGAUGGAUCAGACAACUCAACAAAUAUCUAUAGCACCACCUGUAUCCAGAUUUGGUGCAAGAUUCCAUGGAAAUUAGCAUGUCUCCAUCUAUGCAUUGAUGUAGUAUCUGUCCCUCACCAAUCAAAAAGUGCACAAGGUCUAGAAAAUCCUCUCAUGUUAGAAUAUGUGUCAAUAAUUUUCACAUUAGUAGAGAGGAGAUAUAGAAAUCACUUCGUAGCACCAAGAUGCCAAGUAUUGGUUUCAUGGCCUUAAUUUAUUUCAACCGGCUUUAAGUAAAAAAUCUAUGAAUCAUGCUGAUGUGUUUUUGUUAAAGUGAUUAAGAUUACUAUUGACUCAAUAUAUUGGCUUCAGCGUUUAAAGAUUAUCUUCAUUGUGCUUAAGUUUUUUCACAUUAUGCAAUUUGCUUUGCUUUUUUAUUCUUGGGAUUAUAUAUGGUAUUUUAGUAUUAGGUUUUGAUUAUGUUUCAUAGUUUAGUUAGGAAUCUUGUAUUAUAAAUAGGUGCUUUAAUGGGUUGAUGAAUACACAGAAAGUUAGUCCCAAAUAUGUUUUCCAUGUAUUGUUUUACAUGGUAUCAAGAGCCAUAGGAUCUAGGGUUUCGAAAUCGGGGUUUUAGAAAUUAAAAGUUAGUGUUUUUGAGUGAAAAUGGAGGCACCGAGGCAGCCACCCAUUCUUGUUCGAAGUAUUACCAGUCGACACCGCCUGGCCAGGGAGGUGUGUCGCCGUCAGACCGACUUUCGCCGAAAGUCCGGUUGCCGGAAUCGAUGCAUGUGGAUCUCAUGUGCCGGGCCUCCGGCAACCUUUUUCUCCCACAGUUUCAUUUUCCUGUGCAUGUGGCGGUAUGGGCGCAUUUCUCUCUGUAAUUUGCUCCAGCCGGUCCCAUUUGACUCGUCUCGUCAUCCUCUGUCUGUUUGAGUACUUGUUUGGAUCAGCAUCGGAGAGGUAUUGGAUUUGUUCUCAUCGUUCUCGUCCAUAUUCUAAUUUUUGGCGCGUGUGUGGCCGGAAUUCAGUCCAGUUUGUGGUGUUGUGCUCGUCUCGACGUCCCCUUUCGUUUCGUAUACCUGUUUUUCAAUACCUGUUUUGAAAUCUUUCUGCUCUCUCUUUUGUCGUUGGAAUGGAAACUGUCUGAGGAUGAGAAAAAGACCGUGGUUCCUGAGGUUGUGUCCGUGAUUGCAAGAAUCACGAAACACAAACUUUUGCGUCAUCCACCUUCUGAUGCGUCCAAACUUUCUUGGUCACAAGAGGAUGCUCGUUUCUUGCAAGUUCGAGAAAUUGAGGGGUUCUCAACCUACUUCUGUCACCACCGUUGCUGAUUCAAAUGUCAUGAGGAAGAAGAUUUUUAGUGAAAGGGAAUUGGUCUUCCUAUUUUGAAGGGACUUGUCCACUUUUGUUUUCUGUUUAGCUGUCGGUUUCUUAGUUAUUUUUUUCUUUAGAUAAUCUAGUCUUUAUUAGUUCUAGUUUUUUAGUCAAUAAUAAUUGUUUUGAUGCGCCCGAUAUAACAAGCUAGGCAUGAAACAUCUAUGUUCUAGCUUGAGGAGGGGUGUUGGAAUUAUAUAUGGUAUUUUAGUAUUAGGUUUUGAUUAUGUUUCCUAGUUUAGUUAGGACUCUUGUAUUUAAAUAGCCUAGGUGCUUUAUUGAGUUGAUGAAUAUACCAAAAAUUAGUCCCAAA